GGAGUUGGGCGAUCGCGUUUUUGUCUUUGGGCAAAGCCGAGGAAAGUCCGGGCUCCACAGAAACAAAGAUGCUGGAUAACGUCCAGCGGGAGAAAUCCUAGGGAAAGUGCCACAGAAAAUAUACCGCCUCUUUAAGGGGUAAGGGUGAAAUGGUGCGGUAAGAGCGCACCGCGCAGGUGGCAACACUCUGCGGCAUGGUAAACCCCACCUGGAGCAAGACCAAAUAGGAAAGCUAUGCCGUGGCCCGCGGUGCUUUCGGGUAGGUUGCUUGAGGCCGCCGGUGACGGCAGGUCCAGAUGAAUGAUUGCCCACGACAGAACCCGGCUUAUCGGCUGGCUCCUUUU
rnacentral:RNase_P_RNA from 1 species